AUGUCACCACCGUUAGGCAACACCAACUGCCAUUUAGGGCAUUUGCACAGUGCCUCUGGGAUUCACAAAGACAUGUUGGUGAGACUGAGAAAGCUACUUGGGAAAGAGAAUAGAGUCUAGAGAAGAGAGAGAGGCAGGAGGAAGCUGACCUUCUGUCUCAGGGGACUACUGCAAAGGCAUCGUCCCAACUCUCCCCUCACUAAGCAGGAUCUGGAAAUGAACAAGGUGGAGAAACUGACCAUUCAGCUACAGAUGAUGACCUGUUAGAGGAAUGAACUGCUUGGAGUCCUGGACCAUUAUACCAACAAUAACUUGAAAAGCAGGAGUACUGAGUCAACAGACCCAUGGAUCUGAUGGGGGCUGGAUCACCUGGAGGUCAAUUGGUGUUUGUCUCCCUGGAAACAGAUGCACACUGGAGAGAGCCUGUAAUCAGCAGGAGUGUGCUGCAUGCACAUCUACCCAAAGCAAUGUCUGAGGGUCCUCAUUUCUGCCAACCUUCCUUGAGGCUGAUUUUAAUUCAGAGUAAACAACUUUGAAGAAAAGCAGUUACUGAGUGCUACAGAUACAGAACAAAGUAUGCAGCCUGUCCCCAAUGCCUCAGGCUACCAGUUGCUGAUCAGCAGAAGGCUCACAGAUCAUCUCAUGGGCCUCCUUCAAGAGACUCUUCAGAUCCUCACA